rnacentral:lncRNA from 1 species
UUCAUUGUCUUGUGCUCAAUAAUUUCUUUCUUUUAACUCCUUAUAAAAACACUUCUCAACCCACUUCCAGUCUACAUCCAGCAAAGUCUAUAAUCCCACGGACAAGUUCCAGGUUCCAGGAAAGGUUGUUCUAUCUUGUUUUUCCAUUGGUCUCUCUGGUGAGAAGAUUUGUCGAAGGAAAGGUUUUCUGAUUCUGUAAUGGCAAAGGAAAUUAGCUAUUUGAGUUUUUGGAUUGAAAUUGCACCACCCCUUUUCAAAUCACCUGUCAGAACUUCAAAUUCUCCUGUGUUCGAGACAAUCACAGAGGAAGAGAUUGAGGAAUCGGACGACGACUAGGAAAUUGAUUUUGGAUUGCAAUUUCCAUUUCUCUUGUAAACCUUCAAUGUCAUUAAUUGUAAUUUUGUGGUGCUAACAGAUUGACAGAAUGUUCCUUUUGAAAAUUCCAAUUUUGUUACAGUAAAUUUUCUGAGUUUGGCUUCUUUCAUCACUAGUUACGUAGCAGGCUUAAAUGUUGCAACGAUUUGUUGCAGAGCCAAGCUCAAAACCCAAAAACAUCAGAUAAUGUCAUUAGUCUGACAAAUGUCCUGGUACAGGUUGGCUGGCUAAUUGAAAAUGAGACAAUUCUGUCAGAUUCCAGGCAGAUAAUCAGCAUUAAUAUUCCCUUUUUUGUGUUUUUCUGCUCAAUCUUGGUGAGGUUUUUCAACUCUGGAGUCCUCCUAUAUUACCCCAUCCAAAAUAAUAAUUAAGGUAAAUUAUUAUUAAAAUUUAUUAAGUUAAUUAAAAGAUUAAUUAUUAAAAAAAAUGAUUUAAGUAUUUUAUAAAAAAAAAAUUUAGUUAUCAUGAAACAAAAAAGAAUAUGAGAGGUUUUUUUUUCUCAUUUUUUUUAGGAUUAAAAAAUAUAAAAAUAAA